CCUACGGGGGGCAGCAGUGGGGAAUAUUGGACAAUGGGCGCAAGCCUGAUCCAGCCAUGCCGCGUGAGUGAUGAAGGCCUUAGGGUUGUAAAGCUCUUUUGCCGGGGACGAUAAUGACGGUACCCGGAGAAUAAGUCCCGGCUAACUUCGUGCCAGCAGCCGCGGUAAU
rnacentral:rRNA from 1 species